rnacentral:lncRNA from 1 species
GAGCCUAUAAAUGGAGACAGAAGAUUGUUUGGGUUGAUAAAAAUAAAAAAUAAAUCAAAUAUGAGUUCAAUGUGCAUUACUUUCCUAAUGCUUUUAGCUGCAGCUGCUGUUCUUAUGUCUUGGCAAGUGGGAGCUCGAGGCCUUGCUGAAACAACCACCAAAAACAACCGUGGAUGGUAUGGUCCUAACUACAGUGGACCUGGACCAGGAGGAUAUGGAGAGGCCCCUAAUUAUCCCGGCUGCCGUCGGCGUGGCUGCUAGCUGCUCUUAUAUGUUGGCCAGGCGGUGGAUGCUGAAACUCAUUGGCAUAUGCAUAUAGAGAGAGAGAGAGAGAGCGCAAAUCCUACAAUUUUCGCUUUCCUAAACUAAUAGGCUUGCUUAUAUUAUAUAGAGGAAUUCUAAAUGAAUAAAUAUAUGAUUUUAUGUAUUAAAAAUAAAAUAAAAUUGUGAUUUUCUAAUUUAUCUGUUCCUUUACUUGCUUACUUGAUACGCAUGUUUAAAAAAAAUACAAUUACUUUGCAACUCCAAAUCGACCUUAAUAGCAUAAAAUUCUGCAAAUUUUGAACCCAUUUUUGCCUUUGAAUCUUUGACCAUGGCACCAUGCAACGUA